AAAAAAGUGAAUCUAUUUUGUAAUUUUAGGAAUUGAUUGGUUACUCUUAUAGAAGGCUUAAGGCCCAAAGCUUUAUUUUUACUGCAUAGUGACUUUAGUAAAUCAAAAUUUCCCCUUCAUCUUAAUCUUUUAUCAUAUGUGCCACAAAAACUUCAUGAUAGGAUGAAGGCCCAUGAGACUCAGUUUCUAGUUCAUCUGUACCACUCCAGCAUCCUUACAGCCACUUAAGUACACACAUGUUUGCCAGGAGACCUUGGAACUCAGGGGUGAAUGAGUCUGCAAAGCCCUGAAGCCAGUUCAGAACAUCCACUCACUUCCACUCUGUUUCCAGGAAAGAAUGUAUAGAAACCCCCUUACCGUGCCCCACUGCUGCUUUCCAUUGCAGAGAGUAGCACCACGUGGUGCUGCUAGGGAUCUUCCUGCUUAUCUGUCUAGUUCAACCUCCUCACUUUACAGAUAAAAGAACUGCCUCGGCUCCUUUCCUUGUUCAAGGGAUUGAAGACUAAACGUCUGGUGUUAGGAAAACCAUCCGUGAAGAAAAGACACGAGUUCUCUGUGCUGCAGUGAGCAUUUUUCUCACAUAGGUAUGGAGAAGGGAGGCCUAUUUGCUUUAAUGCAGCUAAAUCUCUUUGUCAUUCCAUUCAUUUAUGCACCCUAGAAUCUCCCUAGUCACCCUUCACUUUGUCCUCACUGGAAGAAGUGUUCUCAUGCAUGGACAGCUUUGAACAUUUUUUUGAAAAAGUCUUUUGCAGGCUACAGUGCCAGAGCACAGGCUUGUGCAUAACUGGGGCGUCUGUCCUCUAAGACUGUGGCCCUUUUAACCGCAAGCAACACGGCAACACGGAAAGAAAGAGUCUUCCGCCCAUUUCUGAAAUGGAAAGAACAGGAAUCCAUCGUGUUUAUACACCAGGGAAAGAAAUGAAUACGUGCUCUACGGACACACUGUUUGCCCUGCCUGCCCCAGGCCUCCCAGGGCUUACUCAUCUUAAAUCCCCAGCUGCUCUUCACGAACAGAGGAGCGAUUUCUCCUGGUCAACAGGCACUAGGAUGGAGUCAUGCAAACUUGGUAUCAAGAAAUGGGACCCAGGACCUGGCUAUGUUUCCAAAUUCCAUGGCUGGCUUUUACUCUACAAGGGCUUCUGGAGGUGGGAGACGAACGAUACACUCCUAGAUGUACAAGAUCUUGUAAGACACAGGAAGCCACAUGGAGAAUGUUCUGCAAAUUUAUCUGAACGCUUAUGUCCCUCAGCCCCCCUUGUUUUUCCAGGAGAGGGUGUCCUGUUGGGGAUCUUGGUCUAAACAUGAAAACUUUUUUUUUUUGGUUUUGGUUUUGUCUUAAAUUUGUGUCUUAUUGUUUUCUCUUUAUAUUUUACUAAAUGUCUAAAUGGGUAUCACAAAUAGUAUUUUCAAUGUUUCUCCCUUUUCCUUUGUCGUAAAAGAAAAGAAACAUGAAAAUGGGAAAGCUGUGAAGAAUAACAAGGAAGUGUUGGCUUUCUCAUCCAAUGUCCCCAAUUCUGUAAUUUCCACUCAAAAGAGAGGAAGAACAUUCACUGUAGAGUGAACUACAGAAGCAAAGCACCAAUGUGCAUGAUAUGGGAAUAAAGAACAAUGGGAAUAAAGCUUGAAAACUUGG